GUGUCAGCAGUGUCGGUAUGAGGUAUAAGAGUAGUGUUUUCUUCUUUAGCAGGUUUAAAGGGUAUUAGACGGCAGAUCUCGCUAUAGUAAGGACUAGUCUGCUAGAGUUUUUUGUAAAGGGGCUUUAAAAUUUAAGGGAGUAGAGAUAAAAUGUUAGCAUACCUUUUUUUGGUAAGAAAAAAUAAUGGCACUGAUAAAGGCGAAAACAUCCCCUUAUGUGAUAACUGACGUUAAAGGACGAAGGCUUUGUGUUGCGAACAGGAUUAGAUACCCUGGUAGUCGAAGCAGAGAAUGAUGAGUGUCAUAGAUUAGAAUAAGUUUAAUCUAUAAAUGAAAGUGUAAACACUCCACUUUAAGAGUAAUGUGGCAACACCGAAAUUGAAAUCAUUAGACCGUUUUUGAAACCAGUAGUGAAGUAUGUUGUUUAAUUUGAUGACACACAAAAAACCUUACCACAACUUGAAUAUUUAUAAUUAAUUAUAUUUACAAGCGUUGCACGGCUGUCUUAAGUUAAUGUCGUGAGAAUUUGGUUAGCUCCAUCAAAUUGACGUAAACCCUUGUUUUAUUUUUAUAUAGAACAGUUCACCGUUAUAUG
rnacentral:rRNA from 1 species